CCUACGGGAGGCAGCAGUGAGGAAUAUUGGUCAAUGGGCGCGAGCCUGAACCAGCCAAGCAGCGUGAAGGAUGACUGCCCUACGGGUUGUAAACUUCUUUUAUAAAGGAAUAAAGUGAGGCACGUGUGCCUUUUUGUAUGUACUUUAUGAAUAAGGAUCGGCUAACUCCGUGCCAGCAGCAGCGGUAAUACGGAGGAUGCGAGCGUUAUCCGGAUUUAUUGGGUUUAAAGGGAGCGUAGAUGGGUUGUUAAGUCAGUUGUGAAAGUUUGCGGCUCAACCGUGGAAUUGCAAUUGAUACUGGCAGUCUGGAGUACAGUUGAGGUAGGCGGAAUUCGUGGUGUAGCGGUGAAAUGCGUAGAUAUCAGGAAGAACACCGAUUGCGAAGGCAGCUUACUAGACUGCAACUGACAUUGAUGCUCGAAAGUGUGGGUAUCAAACAGGAUUAGAUACCCUGGUAGUC
rnacentral:rRNA from 1 species